CCUACGGGUGGCAGCAGUAGGGAAUAUUGCUCAAUGGGGGAAACCCUGAAGCAGCAACGCCGCGUGGAGGAUGAAGGUUUUCGGAUUGUAAACUCCUUUUGUUAGAGAAGAUAAUGACGGUAUCUAACGAAUAAGCACCGGCUAACUCCGUGCCAGCAGCCGCGGUAAUACGGAGGGUGCAAGCGUUACUCGGAAUCACUGGGCGUAAAGAGCGCGUAGGCGGGAUAGCAAGUGAGAUGUGAAAUCCUAGGGCUUAACCAUAGAACUGCAUUUGAUACUGUUAUUCUAGAGUAUGGGAGAGGUAGGUGGAAUGCUUGGUGUAGGGGUGAAAUCCGUAGAGAUCAAGAGGAAUACUCAUUGCGAAGGCGACCUACUGGAACAUAACUGACGCUGAUGCGCGAAAGCGUGGGGAGCAAACAGGAUUAGAUACCCUAGUAGUC
rnacentral:rRNA from 1 species